CAUGCAUCUUUGGAUCCAUUUAAUGGUUACUCUCUCUGCUUUUGAAGGUGUCUUCUCCGAUGUUACUCUGGUGGAAUCUGGAGGGGAUGUAAAAAGGCCUGGAAAUUCCCUACAACUCACAUGUACAACAUCAGGCUUCAACAUAGACAGCUACUGGAUGCACUGGGUCCGUCAGCCUCCUGGAAAGGGGCUGGAGUGGCUCUCAGCAAUUAGUGGGAGCACCAAAGUCUAUGGAGAUGCUGUUAGAGGCCGAUUCACAACUUCCACGGAUGGCUCCAAAAGGCUCAUUUAUUUAGAUAUGACAAACCUGAAAGCUGAAGACACAGCCGUGUAUUACUGCACAAGAGAAACACAAUGA